rnacentral:rRNA from 1 species
GAGUUUGAUCAUGGCUCAGGACGAACGCUUGCGGCGUGCCUAAGAAAUGCAAGUCGAACGGGGCUCACUCUUCGGAGUGGGCUUAGUGGCGAACGGUCGCGUAACACGUAGGCAACCUGCCCCGAAGCGGGGGAUAACUCUCCGAAAGGAGAGCUAAUACCGCAUGUGGCCGCUCUCUCGCAUGAGGGGGCGUCUAAAGGCUCCGGCAACGGAGUUGCUUGGGGAUGGGCUUGCGGCCUAUCAGCUGGUUGGUGGGGUAACGGCCUACCAAGGCGUUGACGGGUAGCUGGUCUGAGAGGAUGGUCAGCCGGAUUGGGACUGAGAUACGGCCCAGACUCCUACGGGGGGCAGCAAUUAGGAAUCUUGCGCAAUGGGGGCAACCCUGACGCAGCGACGCCGCGUGCGGGAUGACGGCAUUCGUGUCGUAAACCGCUUUUAGGCAGGAAGAAAGCCGGCUUGUCCGGUGUGACGGUACUGCCUGAAUAAGCCCCGGCUAACUACGUGCCAGCAGCCGCGGUAAUACGUAGGGGGCGAGCGUUGUCCGAAGUUACUGGGCGUAAAGCGCGCGUAGGCGGUCCUUUAAGUCUGGUGUGAAAGGCUGGGGCUCAACCCCAGCAGUGCACUGGAUACUGAGGGACUUGAGUGCGGGAGAGGAGAGUGGAAUUCCUGGUGUAGCGGUGAAAUGCGUAGAUAUCAGGAGGAACACCCGUGGCGAAGGCGGCUCUCUGGCCUGCAACUGACGCUGAGGCGCGAAAGCGUGGGGAGCGAACGGGAUUAGAUACCCCGGUAGUCCACGCCGUAAACGAUGAGUGCUAGGUGUCAGGGGUAUCGACCCCUCUGGUGCCGCAGCUAACGCAGUAAGCACUCCGCCUGGGGAGUACGGCCGCAAGGUUGAAACUCAAAGGAAUUGACGGGGGCCCGCACAAGCGGUGGAGCACGUGGUUUAAUUCGUCACUAACCGAAGAACCUUACCCAGGCUUGACAUCGCGUGAAAGCCCAUGAAAGUGGGUCCUCCCCGCAAGGGGACACAAAGACAGGUGUUGCAUGGCUGUCGUCAGCUCGUGUCGUGAGAUGUUGGGUUAAGUCCCGCAACGAGCGCAACCCUCACCCCAUGUUGCCAGCGUCAAGUCGGGCACUCUUGGGGAACUGCCCGUGCAAGCGGGAGGAAGGUGGGGAUGACGUCAAGUCGGCAUGGCCCUUACGCCUGGGGCUACACACAUGCUACAAUGGACGGAAACAACGGGACGCAAGACCGCGAGGUGGAGCCAAUCCUAUCAAAUACGUCCUCAGUUGGGAUUGCAGGCUGCAACUCGCCUGCAUGAACGUGGAAUCGCUAGUAACCGCCGGUCAGCCAAACGGCGGUGAAUACGUUCCCGGGCCUUGUACACACCGCCCGUCAAGUCACCUGAAUUGUCUGCACCCGAAGCCCGUGGCCCAACCUCUCCCCUUGUGGGAGGGGAGGGAGCGGUCGAAGGUGUGGGGAGUAAGGGGGACUAAGUCGUAACAAGGUAACCGUA